AAAAAUUUAGUUAAAUCUAUAACACUAGCUUGUCAAACUAGAAUUAUUAAAAAUAAUAAUUUUUA
rnacentral:tRNA from 1 species